CCAUCGGAGAGCUUGCUCGAAGAUGGUGAGAGUGGCGCACGGGUGCGUAACGCGUGAGCAACCUACCUCUAUCAGGGGGAUAGCCUCUCGAAAGAGAGAUUAACACCGCAUAACAUCAACAGUUCGCAUGUUCGGUUGAUUAAAUAUUUAUAGGAUAGAGAUGGGCUCGCGUGACAUUAGCUAGUUGGUAGGGUAACGGCUUACCAAGGCGACGAUGUCUAGGGGCUCUGAGAGGAGAAUCCCCCACACUGGUACUGAGACACGGACCAGACUCCUACGGGAGGCAGCAGUAAGGAAUAUUGGUCAAUGGGCGGAAGCCUGAACCAGCCAUGCCGCGUGCAGGAUGACUGCCCUA
rnacentral:rRNA from 1 species